CUGAAUGCCCCGAUGCUGGCCCUUCCGGCACUUUCCCCCCAGGCCCUGCUCCCAAGCUGUGCUGAACCCAGGGCCCUCCAGGCAGGAUGAAGGCCUCGGGACAAAAACAGCACUCUCUGAAACCACUCACAGUAGAUGGUACAAGAACGAGAUGUUGGGAGAGAUUUUCCUCCCCCUCUGUGCGUCUCCCGUUGGCCCCCCUGCUCUUAUGAGGACACCCGGUCAUCAGAUUUAGGACCCACCCUGGAUCCAGGAGGACCUCAUCCCAGGACCCUUCUGUUAAUCGCGUCUGCAAAGACUCCGCCUCCAAACCCUUCCUCAUGGAACAUCUUUAGAGCACAGCCCAGGGCAGUGACCAGCCACAGCCUCACAAUCAAGCUGGGCACCGCAGUGAGGUCAAUCGUGGCCAAAGCCACAGUUUCCGGAUCCCACUCCCCCAGCACUGACCCCAAACCCCCAAGAGCACUCUGGAGGGUCGUCACAAGGGCAGUGAAGGCUGGCACUUCUCACGGAGGGGGUCGCUCUGCUGGGAUGCCCUCUGCAGAAGCAGCGCCCUCACCUACCUCCCCUGUGUGUCUCCGUGGCACCUGAGCUCCAUGGGGCAGCCUUAUUCCCUGGGCCACGGGGAUCUUCCCGCCGUAAGGAGAGCAUGGCUUCAUUCAGGCUUGGACAGAAAGUGUGCAUCCUGAUCAACAGGACUGGGGUUCUGAGCAGCAGCAUCUACGGGAUCUGCAACGCUAAACACAAAAGGAAAACGUAAGGCAAGGAUAAAAAAUGCGUGUGUGUUUGCGUGUAGAUGCCCGUGGGACGAGGAAGAACACGGCCACAGCGAAAACAAGGGAGGCCCUGAGAACUCUUCAGAAGGCUUUGGGGGCUGUCACGCGGUGGGUGGUGUCAUUUUGUUGUUGGUUCUCCAGAGGGGUGGGUCCCAGGGAGGCCAGCUUCCCUGCCCUGUCCAGAGCGAUUUUCUGGCCGAGCCGCCCCCGCCAGAGGGUCCUCGGGUGUUUGCAAGGAUGUCGUUGGGGUCCUCAAGCUCUCACCUGAGCCCCCCCCCGCCAAGAAGUUAUCUGCGUUUUCAAAAGGCCCCUCCUGGGGACACCACGCCCCCAGGAAACACCAUUCUGGGUAACACAGCCUGGGUUGGAUCCGAACCUCUGAACCCGACCUUCUUACAGCCUCAGCCUCACUGGGCUCCUCUCCAGCCCUUGACCCUGGAGGUAGCCCCGCCCAGCUCCCCUUAGAGCCGAAGGCGCCUCCCCCCACCCCCAGCGCGGUCCCAGCCAAUUGGCAGGGAACAGAGCAGACCCCACGCCGCCCCUGCCCAGAGCCCCCAGUUCCCACAGGGACCUGACCCUGCAGCCGGGACCCCGGGGGGAGGUCCCACGGCAAGCCCCCACGCCUGCAGGACACCCUGCCACCUGUGUGUCCCCCCGCACUAUCGUCCCCCCAGCCCGAGGCCGGGUGAGGCAGGGAGGCACGUUCCACCAGAUAGAUGGUCGUUGUCAAGGCUGCGUGUUGAGCAGGAUUCCGGAAAGGGGGCUGUGAGCAAUGUCACCCCUCGUGUCAC